rnacentral:misc_RNA from 1 species
GUGAAUCAUCGAAUUUUUGAACGCAAAUUGCACUCUCUUCGGAGAGUAUGCCUGUUUGAGGUUCAGCCUAAAAAAAAACCGACAUAGUCGCUGUUUCGCGGUGACUUUCGUCGGAAAUUGGGUCAUCUUAAACCUUUGGGUUUUAAGCGGCUUAAAAUUUUCUUUUGGUUCCAUGAACCGUUCUUAGAUUUAUUUCCUUAAUAGUUAAUGGU